AGCAAACAGGCCCUUGUGCGCUGCUUCGGCCAUUGCCUUCCCUCCCACCUGUCACGCAAACCCUUUGAGGCCUUGAUAGUGGACUACGCCGCGACCUGGUCCACGGAGAGAUAACGCCAUGGUGGCUCGCAGGUUCGUAGUCCGGGAGGUCCCCGCCGACGAGGAGCACACGGUCGAGUACGACACGGAGGACGGACUCGACGUCCUCCGGUUUCAGAUCUUCUCGCUCACCUCCGUCCCGCCCGACCUCCAGAAGAUCGUAGUGGAAGCGGAUGGCUCCGUGGUCAACGACGGCACCGACCUCGAGUCAAUUCCCGAGGGCCUGUGCCUCAUGUCCAUUGACGAGGGGGAGAACGCGGACUCGGCUUCGGCGGCGGCGACGGCGCAGGAGAAGUCCGAUGAGGAACUGGCGAGGUUGAUUGAGAUCGAGGUGGAUGCGGAUGGCUCCGUGGUCGACGACGGCACCGACCUCGAGUCCAUUUCUGAGGUCCUCCGCCUCGUCCCCAUCGGCGAGGGGGAUGACAUGGACGCAGCGGCGGCUGUAGCUGCGAGGGCGCAGGAGAAGUCCGACGAGGAGCUCGCGAGGAUGAUUCAGGCGGAAGAAGAGGCACUUCUACUGCAACAGUACAGCAUACAAAGUGACGGAGGAGAGGUUUUCAGAGAAAGAGUUGAGCCAUACAUGCGCCAGGUUCUGAAGUACGAGGAUCCGGUGCGUCAGGAAGCAGCUCUGAAGACGGUUCCUGUAGAUGAACUUAAGGAGAAGGCGCUGAUUUCACUGGCCAAGGAAGGGAUCUUCAGUUCUUCGAAAAAUGAAGAGGAUCAUGCCUUUCUGUUGCAAUUGCUUCUCUGGUUUAAGCAAUCAUUCAGAUGGGUUAAUGCACCAGCUUGUGACAUCUGUGACCGUGAAACAUCUAUGGUUGGAAUGGGAAACCCACUUCCCUCAGAAAUUGAAUUCGGUGCCUCCCGUGUCGAGAUCUAUAGGUGCAACCAUUGUUCGAGCAUCACCUGUUUCCCAAGGUACAAUGAUCCGUAUAAGCUUAUACAAACUAGGAAAGGACGCUGUGGAGAAUGGGCGAAUUGCUUCACAUUCUACUGUCGAGUUUUUGGAUAUGAAGCUCGUUUGAUUCUGGAUUUCACUGAUCAUGUUUGGACAGAAUGUUUUUCAAACCUCUAUGGGAGAUGGAUUCACUUAGAUCCAUGCGAAGGAGUCUAUGAUAAUCCCUUGCUGUAUGAGAAAGGGUGGAACAAGAAAUUAGAUUAUGCAAUUGGUAUCUCAAAAGAUGGAGUACAUGAUAUAACAAAACGCUACACCAGAAAGUGGCAUGAGGUUCUCUCUAGGCGGACCAUUACCUCCGAGGAUACAGUUUCAGCUAUUCUGAUGAAUAUAACUAGAAAGUGUCGCAGUGGAUUGUCAAGUAAUGAACACUUAGCCUUAGAAAAACGUGACAGGAAAGAGUCCGAGGAACUUAGUAAAGCUACCUAUCUUGAAGUUAACAACAGCAUAUCUCUACCUGGAAGGCAAAGUGGUUCUGUGGAAUGGAGAGCAGCAAGGUCAGAAUUGGGCCAAGCAGACUCACUCAGUUGCUCGUCGUGUCCUAUUCGGAGAUGUGUGGAUGCUCAUGUUUCAAAAAUACAUGAUGCUCUUUCAGCUAUUCUUUCUCAUUUUUGUGAUAAUAACAUCCCUAAUGAAAGAAUCAUUGAAGUUUUUGUCACAUUGAGGAGCUUGAUGCAAAAUCUUAAAGAUGCUAACUUCAAAAGCAGGAGAGUCACAUUAGAUCAAAAAUCACAGCAAAUUUUUGAGAUACUUCCCUCUGCGGAAAGAUUGCUUUCUGCUAUUUCUUUAAAAGCAGAGUUACACACUGUUGGAGAUCCAUCCGUGGCUACAGAUGGAAAUCUAAUACAUACAUCCUUAGCAUUACCAGUAGCACUAGAUGCAGUUGAUGAGAUACUAAGUAACUAUAAGAGCAAUAUCUUUUACACAAAAGGUCAUCAAUUCCCAAGAGGCAAUAGACUCUGUUCAGGUUCAGUCCUUGCAAGCAGUGAGCAGCUCCCAAUUGGAAUUGCAACAGCAGCCUUUGACGGCAUUCGCUUGUCCAAAUGGGAAGAACCUGAUGGAGCCAAAGGAUGUUGGCUAAUGUACAAGGUGCAUGGUGGCCAAACUUGCGAGUUGGAGUCAUAUGAUUUGAUGUCAGCUAAUGAUGCUCCCGAGAGGGAUCCAAUGGGCUGCCCUACAACUACAGGGGACACACCAGGCCAAGGCAGGGCAUCUCAAUUGAACAUCUUUAUCUCCUGGGGAUUUGUUAGGAUUAGAUUCCAGGGUCCUUGAAGGGAGCACAGACCAAAGGUCUACCUGGAAUACUAUUGAUGCUCGGAGUUCUGUAAUCUUUGGCAGCCGUUUCUGUAGGAAAUCAUUUACUGUUGACAAGAGAUACAAAGCAAAUGUACUUCGGUUUCGGUUUCUACGUGGGAGAGAAUCUAGUGCCAAUCCAAGGUUUCAAAUAGGAUCCAUCGACUUCUACGGGGAAACACACAUGGCCUGAUCGCAGGUGUUAAUUUGUGUGUACAAAACCCAACAAAACCUUGUCGAAUCAUGCACGUAUCAUGACCAGUACUAUAUAUGCAACCAAUAAUUGUACUGAUUAUAUUGGAUGAUUGUAAAUUCCGGUUCUACUCUGGAAGAGGUUCUUUUCCUUUCAA